ensembl:lncRNA
UGGGAACGGGUGCACAGGUAGAACUGGUCCAGUUGUUCUCCUCUGGGAUGGGAGACCCCGCGGGGGAUUGGAUGCUCCUGAGCUCUGUGGGCUUGCAGGUUCCUCACCAAGACAAGCAUCAGGGAGAGGGCUUUGGGUCUGCGCCGACGCACGGAAAUGCAAGGGCCGUGAAAGGAGCCCUUCUUCGGGGCUCUCCAGGAGCCAGGCACUGAACAAGAACUGCCUUUGAACGGGGACGGACGCUGCUCGGCCGGCGGCCAGCGGGAGAGCGGCGGAAAAAAUCGCUGCGUCGCGGAGACACCGACGAAGUCCGUGUCCACCCAUUGCUGUGGGUCUGCGCUGCCCCAUGGGGCACCCAGAAAUGGUGUCCUGUUAUGAGAUACGUGGUGCGUUCUGAGCAAAGGGGUCACGUUUGGAUGAGGGCUGUGUGAUGCGCGCUGUGCGCGGCGUGGGAAUGGCACGGUGAUCCCCAGGGGGGGCUUCGCUUGAGGGGUGCAGGGGUUUGCAGCACAGAGCGUGGAGGAGAUGCUGAGGUGGCAGUGGUGGUGGGCAGGAAUUGGGGGUGUUCGGGGUGCAGGGAUUUGCAGCAAAGCACAGUGCAUGGAGGUGAUGCUGAGAUGGCAGUGGUGGUGGGGCAGGAAUUGGGGGAUCACUCAGAGUGCAGGGAUUAGCAGCACAUUGCAUGGAGGUGAUGCUGAGAUGGCAGUGGUGAUGGGCAGGAAGGGGGGGCAUAGUGCAAGGUUUUGCAGCACAGAGCAUGGAGGUGAUACUGACGUGACAAUGAUGGGGACAGGAAUUGGGGAUGCUUGGGGUGCAGGGAUUUGCAGCACAUUGCAUGGAGGUGAUGCUGAGAUGGCAGUGGUGGUGGGCAGGAAGGGGGGGAAUAGUGCAAGGUUUUGCAGCACAGAGCAUGGAGGUGAUACUGACGUGACAAUGAUGGGGACAGGAAUUGGGGAUACUCGGGGUGCAGGGGUUUGCAGCACAGUGCAUGGAGGUGAUUCUGAGAUGGCAGUGAUGAGGGCAGGAAUUGGGGAUACUCGGGGUGCAGGGAUUUGCAGCACAUUGCAUCACAGAGGUGAUGCUGAGGUGGCAGUAGUAGUGGGGCAGGAAUUGGGGAUGCUUGGGGUGCAGGGAUUUGCAGCACAGAGCAUGGAGGUGGUGCUGAGGUGGCUGUGAUGUUGGGGUAGGAAUUGGGGAUGCUCAGAGUGCAGGGGUUUGCAGCACAGAGCAUGGAGGUGAUGCUGAGGUGGCAGUGAUGUUGGGGUAGGAAUUGGGGAUGCUCAGAGUGCAGGGGUUUGCAGCACAGAGCAUGGAGGUGAUGCUGAAAAGCCAUGGAUGGGGCGCAGAGAUGGGUGACAGCCAUCGGCAUCCGCGCCCUUCCUUUGCUGAGCCGCACAGAGAUCACCUUGCCACCGAAUCCAGCGCACGGUUCUCAUCUUUUUCUGCCCCUCAGACCCCAUCAGACCCCAUCAGCCGAGCUGGAAGGGGAGCUGGCAGUCUGCCCGUCCCGUCCCGGCAGUGCUGCCGGGCAGAAAGCAGAAACAAAAAAGGAGGAUGGUGCCACCUCCCGGCACCCGCUCGGCUCUCCCCACCCCGCAGCGCACCGCGGACCGGCGGGGGACCCGCGCGGCCGUGGGCUGAACUCCACGGGGCAGGUGGGGAAACUGAGGCACGGGGCACCUCCUGCCGCCGAGCCCGAGGGCACGGCCUGCCCUUUACAUCCCCUCUCACCUCCCCGUCGGGCUGCGGAUCGCUCGGCUCCUUCGUCCCAUCCCACCUCUGCAGGGCUGUGGGGCGCAGGGGUGGCCGAACCCCGUCUCCCAUCUCCAUCCGUGGGGUGCAUUUGGGCACUGUGGUAGGGAUUCGUGGUUCAGCAGCUGAACUGCAAACAACAGAAAGGCCACGGGGGGAGAUUUCAGGCUCUUUAGUUCUGGCUGUCACUAAAGCAUCACCUUUUGGCCCAAAACUGCAGCGCCGGUCAGCACGCAGAAGCGAAGCCCACUUUGGUGCCAUGCUCAGGUUGUGCCCUUCGUUCCGACUUCCCCAAUUCUGGGCUCUUUGCGAAUGAAAACUGCCCUACAACCAUCAAAACGUGCCCUCCCAGUGCUUCAAACGAGUGAGAAUCCAUCCCUAUAGGCCUAUGGAUGGCCGGGGGUGCACGAGGGCUUGGAGAUGGGAGGAAACACAGAAGUAAAAAGGGGUUCCCCCUUUAGCCAACACUCUCCCUGCAGGAUUCCCAUCCCAAUCGCAUCAGGACUGCCUUUCACCCUGCCCCACUUCCCCGAUAACCAUCGCAGCUUUCCUUCCUUAAUUGCUUUCUGCCGUUCUCGCAGAUCACCCCCGAGAACCCGGACACGCUCCUCCUCAUUCAAUGGGCGAUCAGUCGCCAAUCAGCCCCAACGAUCCGGCUGCGAUAAGGUCCCGGUUUGAUGUUAAUCAGCCCUAAUGCACAGCUGGGGCGGAGCUCUGCAUGCUUCGUUCACACGCAGCAGCUCACUGCUUUCCCUUCAACCCUCUGCUGCAGUGCUUUCCCCUUGCAGGGAUUUCCAAUUGGGGAGAAAACGGUUUAUGCCAUGCAUUCAGGGCAAUGAGCUGAGCACCAAACUGCAGGACCCCAUACCCACCCCACCCAACACAACCUGAGCACCCACAGUGCACGACCCCAUACCCACCCCACCCAACACAACCUGAGCACCCACACUGCACGACCCCAUAUCCACCCACUCAACACAACCUGAGCACCCACACUGCACGACCCCAUAUCCACCCCAUCCAACACAACCUGAGCACCCACACUCCAUGACCCCAUAUCCACCCCACCCUGCAGAACCUGAGCACCCACACAGCAGGACCCCAUACCCACCCCACCCAACACAACCUGAGCACCCACAGUGCACAACCCCAUAUCCACCCACCC